ensembl:lncRNA
UCGGAAGGGUCUGCGCAGCCGUCGGUGCGCGGCUUAGCCGGGGGUUAAAAGGAAAAACAAUCAUCGCGAACUGAAUGAAAGCACGUUCAUUUCUCACGAUGUGGACGGUUGUCGCAGCAUGUAAAACGCCUCGUUUCUGCUGCUGCGGACCGCUGGCGAGCCGCCAUGCUUGUGCGGGUCCACGCCGACGACGCCCCCUCUCGCCGCAGAACCUCGGCGCUGGGGAUCGGCCUUCCCAUCAUGAGAAGAAAGCACAGAAAUCUUUUCGGCCCCGAACUGAGCUGUAAAUUCUGAGAGAAUCCGACACCCGCCGCCCGAGGGUUACAGCAGAACGCUAACGAGGCCACGGCGACAUUUCCAUCAGCGUACAGUCAGCCGCGCCAUACAUCAGCGCCGCCCCCAACGUCUCCCAGCCACGCGUGAAGUCAGUGACGAAUCCAGACGCAACACUUUAUUAGAACCCCCCACCCCCGUCCACGCUGUAAUGAAUGAGGCCAUUUAAACAGGAUUUACGAGAUCUUUAAAACUUGAUUGCUUAGAAUUUGAGAAUUAUUCAUAAGACCAAAGCAUCGUUUGUCAUACAGCGAGUGCUGUUUGGGUGGUGGACGGAUGGUUUUGUUGUAGCUUUUCCUGCGCUCUUCCAAUGAGCCGUUUGCAUGCAGAUGCGUCCGACCGACGGCUGUAAUUAAAGGCAAUGAGGCUCAGUUACGUUUGCUGAUUUCCGCCAUGAGAGAGGAAGAGGCUUCCUCGCCUUGUUACUAAGAUUAUUGUGCGCACUUCCUGAGGCAGUGUGACCGUGCUUUGUGUGCAGUGCCCAGAUCAUCUCGUAAUUACACAAGGAUCCCAAGGCAGAGGGUGGAGACCCAAGUGAAGGACCAGUUCACUCACACACACACACACACACACACACUGCUGUAGCUCGGGGGCAUGGCUUACUAUUGCCACAGCCAAGAAUGAGGCCUCUCAGGACAGAUUUACACACAAAUAAAACCAAGUCUUAUCGUGGCCCACAUGUGAACGAGAGCUGAUUACACGGUCUACAUUUCAAUGCUCCGAUUGAGUGGAGUCAACUUUCUGUGGCCCAUUUAACCAGAUUCCAACCCGCGAACACAAGGACGCCCGAUCCGAUACCCACUUAGGAACUGCUAGGAGACCGUUUAGGAGGUUGAAGUUUUAAGUAAUGUUAGUUUCACAAAACUUCCUCACAUCAUUGUCGGCACAUCGAUAUUUAUCACACAGUCUUGAAAUGUCAACCGGCUGUAAACGUAGUUGGUUUACAUAUACGAUGUACUUAUUAACCAGCACGUUUUCUACAGAGCGACUAAUAAUGAGAGCAAUGGCAUCAGCUAGAUCAUCCAAUCAGAGACCUGCAGAGAUUGGCUUGACUGAUCACCUCGAAGGCACCCAUAGCACACGCGUCACCAGUAAGAAAAGGGCUUC